rnacentral:rRNA from 1 species
GAUGAACGCUAGCUACAGGCUUAACACAUGCAAGUCGAACGGUGAAGGGGAGCUUGCUCCCCGGAUCAGUGGCGAACGGGUGAGUAACACGUGGGCAACCUGCCCCAGACUUCGGGAUAACGCUUCGAAAGGAGUGCUAAUACCGGAUACGAACUCCUUGGGCAUCCUUGGGGUUGGAACGUUUUUCGGUCUGGGAUGGGCCCGCGGCCUAUCAGCUUGUUGGUGAGGUAACGGCUCACCAAGGCGACGACGGGUAGCCGGCCUGAGAGGGCGACCGGCCACACUGGGACUGAGACACGGCCCAGACUCCUACGGGAGGCAGCAGUGGGGAAUAUUGCGCAAUGGGCGAAAGCCUGACGCAGCAACGCCGCGUGAGGGAUGACGGCCUUCGGGUUGUAAACCUCUUUCAGCAGGGAAGAAGCGAAAGUGACGGUACCUGCAGAAGAAGCACCGGCUAACUACGUGCCAGCAGCCGCCGUAA